ensembl:lncRNA
GAACGGCAGCCCAGCCCGUGCGGCGGGGAUGGGAAGCGAGGCACGGAGGGCAGGAGCGGGUGGAGGUGCAGGAACCUCCCAGGCCGGCUGUGGGUAAGCCUCUGGCCGCGCUGCCAUCGGCCCAGCUCAGCCCCACAGCCCGGCCCUGCCCCACGGCCUCCAGCAGUCAGGGAGAGCUUCAGGCACUGCCCGAGAGCUGCUGCAGCCCCGGUGAGCUGCUGUGCUGGAGCAUCAAUAUGCUCCCUGUGCCUAGGGAACACAGCAUGGAUCAGCCCCAUAUCCAGCGUCCCGCAGGAGGAGGUGGCAGGGACAGCAGCCAGUGGGCCCAGGGACUGUCACACCAGGCGGUGGCAGGGCCUUUCAGCACUCCUGGAAAGGAACAGCCCCUUCCUCCAGGGCCCCAGUCAGGGGCAGGCCUGGGCCUGCUUUAUCCCUUUGUCCCCUGAGAACAAGCAGGGAGAAGGGAACCAAGUUUUACUCCCAGAAGAAAAGUCCUUUUUAUACAUACAGCAAGAAAAGCCAGCCAUGCUCCUGGAAGAGACCAGCACUGGUCUGCUACAGGAGGCUGCAGCCUCCCUCCAGGUCUGUAUUUAGAAGCAGUCAUUACCCUGCUGGCCCACACCAAGAGAGACAGAUCUGCUGCAUUGUGGCACUGACCUACAGUUGUGUCCUUAGUCAAUAGCUGCAGGUUUGGGAGGGCCAGAGGGGAUGCCCUCACCAAGGGCUGGGACACAGGGGACAGAAGGGCCACCCUGCUCCUCAGGAGGGGGAGGUUAAACCAACCCCAUCUCAGGGCUCAGCUCUCCUUAGCACUCAUCCACAUGGCAAACUGUAAGCACGUCUCCAGGCAGAGCAGCAGGCACACUCCUAUGGGCAGGUAAAAGCAGAAGGAAGGCAGUGACCCUCCAGCUGCCCAGCACAGGGAAGGCAGCAGGGUGACACUGUGCCAGUCCAGCUGGAGCUGUCUUACCUCACAGGCUGAGCCUGCCAGGAGCCAUGAUGCUGGGGCAUCCCUGAGUGAGCUCCCUUGGGUGCUCCCAACCAUGAGGGCCAGGCUCUGGAGACAAACCCAAGCCCUGGGGACUUUCAAGAGCCAAUGACUCAUCUCAUCAAACUGCCAGAGCUGAGGGACACAGCUGGCAGAGGCUGUGCUGCACGUGGUGAUGCACAGCAGCCUCCCACAGCAGGCAGCUUUCAGCUCCCAGUCUGUGCUGGAAGUCAUCCCAGCUUCAGGUACCCAAGAGACAAGGAAAGAAUCCUGCAGCCUCCCAGCCCUCUCCUUAAGGGAAGCACACACCAAGAAACACCCUUCCAGGCUCACUUGACCUCUGGGGAAGGCUCUACUCAGCCAAGUCCUUCACAUUUUAUAUGCUCAGCUAUUCUGGUGCUAUGAAGCAUUCAGAAUAGCCAGAACCAGUAACACCCCUCCAGAAAGGACAAGACCGGUCCCUGAAGCUGCCAGCUUGACAGUGACCACAUUUACUCCAGCUUUAUAAUGAAGACUAAGACUUCCAAAUCUCCUGGUCACAAUGUUCAGCUGUGAAGUUUAUGAGGUGAUAAAGGCCAAGCACUUCAGCAAUGCUUACUGCGACAGACAGGAUUUCCUUUGGUCUGGCUUGCCACAUCCCAGCUUUCCCAGCUGGUCUGUCACAUGCCAGCAGAAGAAGUUCAGAACCCAGCUGGAGCUCAGUGUCGAGGACACUACAUGCCACCAGCACCCAGUCACUGCACCCUCACCACUCCACCAGCCCCAGCAGAGGCACACAGCACCCAGGUGCUGCAGCACCUAGGCAGCAGCCCCCCAUGUGCUGGCAGUGCAGCCGGCAGGGCAGCAGGUGACACUGCCCUGCAGGGACCUGCCAGCACCCCCAGCCUGCGCCCACACCUCCUGCAGCCCUGGGAACGUCCAGCAAAGGAGAGGGUGCGAGAGGAACAAACAGCCUUGCAUCUCAAGGUUCUUCCCUUCCCUUCAGGAUUGCUUUUCUCAUCUCUGCCAACUUGCCUGCAAGGUCACCCAAAGGCUCCUGGAUCAGCCCAUGGGGCACCUUCAGCACUGGGAGAGGUCCUGGGUCCAGCCUCACUCCUCCUCCACUGCACCCAGCCAGGAGCAGCUGAAGCUUCCUGGCACUCGUGACAGAACAAGCCGGCAGUGUGGCACUCCCACAGCAGGGAGAAGAACCAAACAGUAUUCUCUUCUUCCAGGGUAGGAAAAGACUCUCUAAGUGAAGGGCAAACACACAGUCUAGCAGUGGUCCUGUCUGGUGUUUUACUAGUCCUUCCCCUUGGAGAACACAGAGCCCAGACACCACAGAGCCUGCCAGAUUCCAUGAGUUUGGUGAGGCGACAAGACACGGCACAUUUAAAAGCAUUCAACAGGGAACCAGUUUAAUCAGAUAUCAGGUUUGCACCAUUCUUUUCAGAAUCACAAGUUCUGCAUUUUUCUAAGAAAUACAAAGCACUCUCAGGUUUACAGAAUGCUGGUCCUGGAGAAAACAAGAGGGAGAGAACAAGACACUAGGAUACAGACACUAGGAUACUGGGCAGCAGAAAGGAAACUGCUCAUCCCCACCUCGCUGAUGGUAACAGCCCCUGCAGGAGGCAGAGAGAUCCCAGGGGGUCUGUGCUGCUGCAGUGGGGCUGUGCCCUGCUGUCCCCACCCACCGAGGUCAGGAUACCCCGGUGGGAUUGUAGGACACCUCCACACCCCCAUCAGCACGACACCAAUGAACACAGCGCUCCCACACACCAGAAUGAAAAACCCCUGCAUAAAGCCAGCUGACAAGCAUCCAGGUUCAUCUACUCUAGGUAACAUUCAACUCAGAUCCAGGGUAAGUUACUUCAUCCACAAGAUUAACAGCUGAUUCAAUAGCUUGAACACAUGCUACUUACAGCACAUAAAUAGAAGAUACUCUUUUUUUUUACUUAAAAAACGUGUGAUGAAGGUCUAGGUCCGACUGCCUCGACACUGCUGCAUGCACACAACUAUGGGCCUGACAGAAGCGGCUGUGCUGGGCAGCAGGAAAGCUGUCUCUGCAUCACCUAUUCCAGGGGUCACGGGACAGCUCUCCUGCCCCCAUGCUCGACAUCAGCCACACAGCCAGGAAAUAAAUAUGGCACUAGCCAGGAGUGGGCUUUAAUACAAACUCUAGUGGUUUUCAAAAGAAAUAUUAAUCCAUAAAGGGUUACAGUUAACAGGUAUCAUCAUCACUUUAUUUCUCAGAGCCAGAAAUAGUGCUGAACAAACAAACAACAACAAAAAAGAGACAGAGUAUGUAAUUUCCAGAAGUGCGACCAGGGUACAGGGUAGCUCUCAGCGAGACGAAGGGCUUGUGCAGCUGGGAGAGGAGGGGAGCCAUGGCAGAAGAUGGCAGCUCCCGCUCCCGGCGGGCGCCUGACCUUGCGACGCUCUCCGAGGGGAUUUGUCACCGCAGCCUCCACCCCACCCCGCUACAGGACCCACGGCAUGCAGGAACACCGAGCACCCCAGCACCCACCGAGCCAGGGAGCUGCAAGGAGGUGACUUUACAGGGAUGUACCCAAAAAUAGAGACCUUAAAAUAAAUAGGACCAAAGCUUCUUUA